GGUCAUAGCUCAGUGGCAGAGCACUUGCCUAGCAUGUGUGAGGCCCUGGGUUUGAUUCUCAGCACCA
rnacentral:tRNA from 1 species